AAGAGGCCAAGUUAUUCUUUUGUAUCCAUAUUUAAACUCAUGUGCAGGUGUAGACGUUGUUUUGUGGUGCAAUCAGGAUCUUCGAUUCUUUUAUCCCCUUGAAAACAUCCAUAUCGUGUUGAAGAAAAGGUAUUCAGUUGGGAAACAUGCUUUCAUAAUAAGGGACCAAAAGAUGACCGAUUUCGACCUAAACGAGAAGUUUUUGUUUCGAUUCCCACCAAAAGGAUCUAAGGUUACACCACCACUUCUAUCCGGGGAGUCUAUGUGGAAAGAUUAUUGCCCAAUUGUGUUUAGUUUAAUGGUUUUGCAUUGUGCCUUAGGGGAGUGGAGGUGGUCCGUGAUGGCCACCCCAUCACGCGUGGAACAAAAUAGCACACCGCCGCCGCCACAAAUAUAACGCGUGAAUUAUUUAACGCGUUAAAAUCAUCACGCGUUGAAAACAAUUCAACUUUUAGAUUGUUUUGUUGUUUUAUGAAAUUGAAUUAAUAGCAACUUUGAUGAAAAGUGCAAAUUAGCCCCUCAACUUUUGUUAGCUAUUUUUAAACAGCUUUCCUUUAAUUGCAAUUCAGGUCCCUCGUCUUUAUAUAGAUUUUAAUUGCCCAUCUCGACGAACCGUUUAAGUCGGUUGUAAUUCAACAAAAGCGCGAGAUUUGCGAAAAGGUGGGGUUGGGAGAUGCCACCCGUUUAAUUUAAGUUUUUUUUCCAAUGUUUAGUUGUUUUUUAUUUUGCUAUGUAAUGUAAUUUAUUUUUUAAUUUUAAUGAAAUUUAUAAUUUAGUGUUUUAUUGUUAAUUUCUAAUUUAAAAAAUAAAAAAAAAGUUGUGAGUGAUGGAAUUCCAUCACUAGUGAUGACCACCACCACUAAAAAAGGCUUGUGAGUGAUAGAAUAGUGGUUGAUGACAUGGCGGAACUUGAUUGGAUGUUUGUGAGUGAUGGAAUUCUAUCACUAGUGACCACCCAGUAAAUUGAAUCCUUCACGGAGUUGUUCAGAUACUUUAUAAUAUCACUAGUUAAUAGUUAAUUCAGCGACUUUAUGUAAGUCUUAUAAUCAAACAGCGAUGUUAUGUACGUCUUAUAAUCAGACAGCGACUUUCUAAAAAAAUGUGGUUUCAAACAGCGACUUUAAGGGACCAACUGAAUGUAUGUAGAAAACUUACUGGUUUGCAGGUUUUGGACAUUAAAGUAGCUGAUUCAAUCAACUACAUACCUAAAAACAAUCACGUAAUCAGUGCCCACCUAGAAGCACUAUUUUGUUGUUCAAGGCAAGGCACCUAUUUAUGCAAAAAAUUCCAACUAUUGUAUGCUAGAUAUAGAACCCUAAACCCUAACUGUAUGAGUUCAUAAGACUUAACCUAAAACCUAAUUAGUGUUCAUUCAACUAGACAUUGUCUAAUUCAAUUUAACUACCAGAUCAACAAUAAUACUCCACAUAACAAACAAAUAACAAAAUCAAAACCUAUAACAUCCAAAUUACACAUCGAAAAACAAUGUAAAGUAACACAAACCAAACCGCCAUAC